AUUGAACGCUGGCGGCAGGCCUAACACAUGCAAGUCGAACGAGACCUUCGGGUCUAGUGGCGCACGGGUGCGUAACGCGUGGGAAUCUGCCCUUUGCUUCGGAAUAACAGUUAGAAAUGACUGCUAAUACCGGAUGAUGUCUUCGGACCAAAGAUUUAUCGGCAAAGGAUGAGCCCGCGUAGGAUUAGGUAGUUGGUGGGGUAAAGGCCUACCAAGCCGACGAUCCUUAGCUGGUCUGAGAGGAUGAUCAGCCACACUGGGACUGAGACACGGCCCAGACUCCUACGGGAGGCAGCAGUGGGGAAUAUUGGACAAUGGGCGAAGACCUGAUCCAGCAAUGCCG
rnacentral:rRNA from 1 species